UCAUGCUUCCCUUCAUAAUCGAGUGAAUCUUUUGCCUUUUACUAAGGAUUCACGUGGGGAGGGAAAAGCACGACUGUUGCUUCAAUUUUUUGAAGCCUUGUGGAAAUUAAAAAA
ensembl:snRNA U5 U5 spliceosomal RNA